AUUGAACGCUGGCGGCAGGCCUAACACAUGCAAGUCGAGCGGUAGAGAGAAGCUUGCUUCUCUUGAGAGCGGCGGACGGGUGAGUAAUGCCUAGGAAUCUGCCUGGUAGUGGGGGAUAACGUUCGGAAACGGACGCUAAUACCGCAUACGUCCUACGGGAGAAAGCAGGGGACCUUCGGGCCUUGCGCUAUCAGAUGAGCCUAGGUCGGAUUAGCUAGUUGGUGGGGUAAUGGCUCACCAAGGCGACGACCCGUAACUGGUCUGAGAGGAUGAUCAGUCACACUGGAACUGAGACACGGUCCAGACUCCUACGGGAGGCAGCAGUGGGGAAUAUUGGACAAUGGGCGAAAGCCUGAUCCAGCCAUGCCGCGUGUGUGAAGAAGGUCUUCGGAUUGUAAAGCACUUUAAGUUGGGAGGAAGGGUUGUAGAUUAAUACUCUGCAAUUUUGACGUUACCGACAGAAUAAGCACCGGCUAACUCUGUG
rnacentral:rRNA from 1 species